AGACAUCAAUAAAUUUUAUUUUUAAAAUAAAAGACAUUUUUUUCUUUCCUUUUUUGUUUUAUGAGGUGAUAUUGCUCAAAAUCUUCCACCAGCUUCCUCGGGGAUUUGAAAAUAAGUUUAUACUCUAAGCCAGUGUUGGUCUUGACUAUCAAACUUCUCUGAUGGGAAAGUUACUUCUGUGUACUCUAGAAGACAUUGGCUUCUUUCAUUACCUACUCCUGAACCACAUUUUCUAAUAUAUCCCUGCAUAUUUUCACCUUUGCAUUGAAGUCGGUAUAAUUAUAUCAGUUUCUGAUAUCAAACCAUUUGACAGUGUCAAGAACUCUUUUUUCUGCAUCUUUGAUAAAUAUGGCUAUAUUGGCUCUGACAUAUAC
rnacentral:lncRNA from 1 species